rnacentral:lncRNA from 10 species
UAUGGUUACCUAGUCUCUUUACUCUCCUUUAAUUUGGACAGUUCUUCAGUCAUUGUUUGUUUUUCAUGACAUUGAUGUUGAUUACUACGGGCUAUUUAUUUGGUAGAAUGCCAUUGAAUAUGAGUUUGAUGUUUUCGUAUGAUUAGAUUUAUGUGCUGUAUUGUCUUGCAGGAAUGCCACAGAGGUUAUAAUUGUGGUCAGAUAAUGUGCAUUGUGUCUGGAAGCACUUGUUGAUUGGUCCCAUUAUUGGUGAUGUUAACUUUGCUCCCUUGGUUAAGACAGUGUGUCAGUAUGUAUCAGGUUUCUUCAUUGUAAAAUUACUAAGUAUCUCUUGGGGAGAUACUUUGAAACUAUGUAGAUGCUCUGUUACCCAUCAAAAUUUCAACCACGAGUUUUAGUAUCUAGUGUUGAGUCUUGCUUGGAUUAUUAUUAGGGUUGACAAGCGGUGAUUCUGAUUUAAUCAUUUCUUUUAUAUUUAUUAGUUGACUUUCUACUGUAAGAGCUUUCCCUUCAUCCCAUGUAUUGUAUCACUGUGGACAAAUGGAUUCUUUUUUUUUUUUCCUUUGUUUGUUUUAUGAUGGAGUCUUGCUCAGUCUGGCUCUGUCACUCUGAACCACGUUGGCCAGGCUGGUCUCAAACUCCUGACCUCAGGUGAUCCGCCCACCUUGGCCUCCCAAAGUGCUGCGUGAGCCACCACUCCUGGCCUGGAUUCCUAUUGUAUUUAAAGUGACAUCAAUGUUUACUAUUAGUAAGUAUUUUGAUGCUCAAAUUGUCUCAGAUUUGGCCAGCAACAGCCCCUUCAAGCUGGCACGUGUGAACUUCUGUUACUAUUUUAGGUUUGUACUUUAUCUGCCUUGCCUAUAAUCAACCACUUAUCCAAGGAGUCUAGGUACUUUUUAGUAUUUAUAAACCAAGAUCUGCAUGCUACAUAUGCUCACUGCUACAGGAAUAUCAUUGAUUCUACACCCUCUUAGUUGAAGGAGGUAGGUAAUAGAUUAUAUACAUAAACACACACAUAGACCUACACCUGUCUAUUCUGGCUAGUGCUGUAUUAAAAAUCACAAGUUUGGGCGUGAGCCACCACACCCAGCCCACACUGAUACUUCUGAUUCCAGUGAAACACUGUAAGAUUCUCCUUCCCACUUUUCAUAUUUGUAACUCUUGCCUUCAAUAGUGAGAAACCUGGCUCCCAUUAUCUACAAUAUAUUUACUUAUUCAAUCUUACACACUUAAAAUUGGAUUGAUUCAUUUGCUUCUGCUGUUUCUUUUCUUUUUCUUUUCUUUUUUUUUUUUUUUUUUUGAGGCAGAGUCUCACUCUGUUGCCCAGGCUGGAGUGCAGUGGCACAAUCUUGGCUCACUGCAACCUCCGCCUCCCAGGUUCAAGCAAUUCUGUCUCAGCCUCCCAAGUAGCUGGGACUACAGGUGUGCGCCACCAAGCCCAGCUAAUUUUUGUAUUUUUAGUAGAGAUGGGAUUUCACCAUAUUGGCCAGGCUGGUCUCGAACUCCUGACCUCGUGAUCCUCCUGCCUCGACCUCCCAAAGUGCUGGGAUUACAGGCGUGAGCCACCAGGCCAGGCCGCUUCUGUUUUUUCUACUUUAUUUCCCACCACCACCGCCCCCCCCCCAACCCGCCGCCAUCCUAGUUGUUUUUCUUUUUGUUGUUAAGUAAAAUAUUAACAAGAUUGCAAAACACAGAAUGUAUAGUCAGAGGAAUUCCAUCCCCUCCCCAUUCCUUCUAUUCUGUCCAGUUCAUUUCCACCCAAUCCCUGAGGGUAAACAAUUGUAUUAACUUCUGGUUUCUCUUUCCUGUGUUUCUUUUUUUCUUUUUCUUUUUUUUUUUUUUUGAGACGGAGUCUCGGUCUGUCGGCCGGACUGGAGCACAGUGGCGCGAUCUCGGCUCACUACAAGCUCCGCAUCCCGGGUUCACACCAUUCUCCUGCCUCAGCCUCCCGAGUAGCUGGGACCACAGGCACCCGCUACCACACCCGGCUCAUUUUUUUUGUAUUUUUAGCAGAGACGGGGUUUCACCGACUUAGCCAGGAUGGUCUCGAUGUCCUGACCUCGUGAUCCGCCCACCUCGGCCUCCCAAAGUGCUGGGAUUACAGGCAUGAGCCACUGCACCCGGCCUUUCCUGUUUCUUUUUACACAAAUGAACAUAUACAUGCAUAUUUCCUCCUUUCCUACAAAAAUGGUAGCAUAUUGCCAAUACUCUUUUCCACUUUGUUUUCUUCCUUUAACAAGAGAUCUUGUAUCAGUUCAUAGAAAUCUUUCUCCUUUUUUAAACAGCUGCAUAAUACUCAUAUGCCAUAUAUAUGGGCAUGUCAGUGACUUCCAAUAUAUUGUAAUUUUACAAAAAUGAUGCUAUGAAUAACCUAGUAUGUAUGUAUUGUUGGAGGUUUAUCUUCAGGGUAAAUUCCUAGGAGUAAGGUUGCUAGGUCAAAAAAUAAUACAUGUGCACUGUGCGUGUGUAUGUGUGUUAAAUAUUUAUUGUGAAAUUCUCCAUAGAGAUUAUACCAGCUUGCAUUCCACCAGCACUGUAUGAGUGCCUGUUUCCCAACAGCCUGCCAACAAACUCUGUGAUUACGCUUUUUACUUUUUGCCAAUCUGAUAAGUGAGAAAUUGUAUCUCAGUGUAGUUUUAAUUUGUAAUUCUCUCAUUAUGAGUGAAAACGAACUUUUUUUUCAUGUGUUUAAAGAUCAUCUUUUUUGUUGUUGUUGGGGAUACAUUCUCUGUUCAUGUCUUUUGCCCAUUCUUCUAUUGAAGAGUUUUGAUCUAUUUUUCUUCUCAACUUUUAUGGUUAUUUAAAUAUUAUGGAUGUAAGGUUUUUAUCUGAGAUACGUGUUACAAAUAUUUUCUCCCAGGUUUUAAUUGUCUUUUUACAUUGUUCAUGGUGUUUCUUCCUAUGCAAAAGGUUUUACUUUUAUGUAGUCAAGUUUAUCAAUCUUUUAUUUCAUUUUAUUUAAUUUUGAGUUAUAGUUAGAAUGCUUUCCCCUACCCCAGAUUAAAGAGAAAUUUACUCAUUUUAAAAAUAGUAUGUGUAUGGUGAUAGAUAGAUACAUAAAUAGAUAGGUAGGUAGGUAGGUAGAUCGAUCGAUUCUUUUUUUUUUUUUUUGAUCGAUUCUUGAUCCACUUGGAAUUUGUUCUUGUCGAUGGUAUGAGGUAUGGAUCUCCUUUUACCUUUUUCUUCUAAGUACCUAAUUGUUCCAGUACCAUUUAUUUUAAAAAUCCUUUUGGCCCAGGUGUUUUGAGACACCAUCUUUAUUACAUACUAAAGUUCCAUAUGUACUUGGUCCUACUUCUGGACUUUCUUUUCUACUGGUCUAUCCAUAUUACCAUACUCUACUGUUGUAAAGGCUUUAUGGUAUGUUUUCAUGUCUGGUAGGCCAAGUCCCCCUUGUGACUUUUUUCUUUUCUUAGUAUUUUCCUGGCUAUUCUUGUAUGUUUGCCUUUCUGUAUGAAGUUUAGUAUCAGUUUCUUAAGCUCCAUAAAAAGGUUGUUGGUGCAGCCAUAAAAAAGAAUGAGAUCAUGUCCUUUGCAGGGACAUGAAUGGAGAUGGAGGCCAUUAUCCUUAGCAAACUAAAUCAGGAACAGAAAACCAAAUACCACAUGUUCUCACUUAUAAGUGGGAGCAAAAUGAUGGCAACACUUGUACACAAGAUGAGAACAACAGGCUGGGCGCCGUGGCUCACACCUGUAAUCCCAGCACUUUGGGAGUCUGAGGCAGGUGAAUCACUUGAAGCCAAGGAGUUUGAGACCAGCCUGGCCAACAUGAGGAAACCCUGUCUCUACUAAAAAUACAAAAAACCAGCCAGGCAUGGUGGCGCACACCUGUAAUCCCAGCUACGCAGGAGGCUGAGGCAUGAGAAUCCCUUGAACCCAGGAGGCAGAGGUUGCAGUGAGCUGAGAUCGCGCCACUGCACACCAGCCUGGGUGACAGACUCUGGUUUCCAAAAAAAAGAAGAAGAAGGGAAAAACACACACUGGGGCCUUUUGGAGGGUGGAAGGAGGGAGAGGAUCAGGAAAAAUAAAUAACUAGUGAGUACUAGCCUUAAUACCUCAUGAAAUAAUCUGUAUAAACAAACCCCAUGACACAAGUUUAUCUAUAUAAUAAACCUGCACUUGUACCCUUG